UUAAUUUGCAGGUAGGGCAACCUAUACUGCGUACUCGUGGAAACCGAAUUAGCGUUUAAGCGACUUGUAAAGUUGCCGGACAUGAGGAAGGGCUAUCGCAUUUGUGGUAGUCCUUUUUAUUUUGAG
rnacentral:sRNA from 12 species